rnacentral:rRNA from 1 species
GGUACAUCGGUGACAGGUGGUGCAUGGUUGUCGGUCAGCUCGUGUCGUGAGAUGUUGGGUUAAGUCCCGCAACGAGCGCAACCCCUAUUGUUAGUUGCCAUCAUUCAGUUGGGCACUCUAGCGAGACUGCCGGCAAUAAACCGGAGGAAGGUGGGGAUGACGUCAAAUCAUCAUGCCCCUUAUGACCUGGGCUACACACGUGCUACAAUGGUUGGUACAACGAGUUGCGAGUCGGUGACGGCGAGCUAAUCUCUUAAAGCCAAUCUCAGUUCGGAUUGUAGGCUGCAACUCGCCUACAUGAAGUCGGAAUCGCUAGUAAUCGCGGAUCAGCACGCCGCGGUGAAUACGUUCCCAGGCCUU